GUUUCCGUAGUGUAGUGGUUAUCACGAUCGCCUAACACGCGAAAGGUCCUUGGUUCGAUCCCGGGCGGGGACU
rnacentral:tRNA from 1 species